rnacentral:pre_miRNA from 1 species
AAUAGGUGCAGUUUUGCACUAUUUACGUUCAACGUUUGACCGUUUGUCUUAUUUGAAAAUUUUUUAUUAUUAGUAUUUUUAUUGCUAUUAGAUGAUAAAACAUGAAUAAUACUUUAUGUGUGACUAAAUAUUUUUAAUUUUUUUACAAAAUUUUCAAAUAAGAUGGACGGUCAAACGUUGGGCAUGGAUAUCCACAGCUGCACUUAUU